CUUGAUAUAUUAUGAGUAGUAUGAUAGUAUAUUAUAUUAAUAUAUUGUAAUAACUUCUCAUUUUAUUCAAUUAGGUCAAAUUAAUGACUUGGGGAAAGCACAUAAACGUUAUUUAUUUUCCCUUAAAUAGAUCUGGAAUACAGCAUCCCUACUUAAGAGAUUUAAGAAUUACCCUCAGAAGCUAUUUAUAUAGAGAGAUUUUUAUCAUUCUAGCAUGCUUUCAAUGAAAUAAUUAAUAAGGAUUAACAUCUAAAAAGUAUAAGAGUGGAAAUGACAGCAAUUUGCUAAUUUUUAAAUUCUGUAAUUUAAUAAUGAUGUUCAAAGAAAGGAAUAAAAUGCUCUAGUCUCAAAAGUGUAGCCAGUCAUGACCUCCCUAAAAUUUCCAAGAGAUCAACUCUUCCUGCUCACCCGCCGACCCACUCACCCCCUUCCACUUCCAUGUCUGGAACCAUCAUCUUGAGUAAAUAAAGAACAGAGGGAAGAAAAGUCAAGAAUGAGGGCCUUGGCAUAGGACAAGGAACCAUGCAAUCUUAUCUUGAAAAUUCCAUCAAAAUAGACUGGGGAUCUCUGUGGUCAUCAGUGUGCAGCGUAGUUACAGGAUUGAGGUUUCUUUAAUCAUUUCAUAGUCAUCCGAGGAGGGGUUUACUGGUGAGAGGUGUUUUAAAGCAGUUUGGUCUCUCUUUUGAUACUAGGUACUCUGUCAGACUCAUCCAUGUCAGUGUAUGUGCUUUAUAUUUUCCUUCGGAAUCUUACGUUUUCCUGAUGAUUUUUUUCAGCGUUGAUUUGUUCUGAAAAUAAACGCAUCCUCCUGGGUCCAGUGCUUUAGAGAAUCAGCAUGGAGCUCAUAGAAAAAGAGAACUUUCCUGUCUUCUGCCUUCUACUCUUCUAUGAGUGUUCAAUGGUAAAUGUAAAGUGGUGGGAAUUCAGUGCGUCUGCCACAUGCGAGCAGUUACCUGGAGGGGGAGCAGGUAGAGGAAGACGCCGGAAAGAGCACUGGGAAAUGUGGGGAGAGCCUAGACAAAUUUUGUGGGCCAAAGAGAAUUCUGGUGGUUGACGUGUUUUCUCAAACGAUUUUAAAAGUUAAUUCACAUUGCUCCUGGGAGUAAAUUCUACCCUCGUUUCAUCUCCUCCUCAGAUGUCUUAAAAAUUAUUUUUCUUUCUUCCCCUGUCACUGAUCUGUGAUGAAGCAAUAGUAAGGCUUUUAUGAUUUUACGAAUAAUGUGGUAACGAUAGGAACUAAGGUUGUUUUUACAUUUCUGGUUUUAAAAAGCAAGUAAGUUAUUUCAACACAGAGGACUUACUUUAAAAUAAUAAUUGAAAAAACCUUAUAUCUGGGAUAUGCCACAUUUGAUUAAAAAUCUUAGCCUGUAAAUAAAAAUCUGGUCCAUUUAAAUGUAUCUUGCUUAGAGGCGCAUGCCUUCAAAUGGGGCUGUUUUGUAGUUCACCUUGUAUUUCACUGCUUGCGAACUCUGUGAGCAAACAGUUUGUUCACAGGGUGAAACACAUAUUUAUGGUCCUGAAUAAACUGCUCAGAUUCAAAAACUAUUUGUGUGACAGUGCUAGACACAGGAAUUCUGAAGCCAAAUGGGAUGUUUGUAGCCUCCAUUUGCAUAUCAAUGCCCAGGCUCCCCUUUAGGAAUACUGCUGCUUCAUGACAAUGCUGUUGUCUGAGGUCUGGGGGAAAGAAAACCCAUAAAAGUUGGGACUCACUUUUCAAUGCCCUCGAUUCUUUUCUUGUGCUUUGGAAAACUGUGAAACAGGGUCACCAAGUUCCAUUCUGCAUAGUUUUAUUAUGUUUUCAAUGAAGCGAUUGAACCUGCACAGAACCCAGACGGACAGACAUCACAAGGCCACUUUGUGGAAAGGCAGCCUAGCUUCUUUAGAACGUUGACGCUGAAGCUCCUCUCCUGUGUUUCAGGGGUUUGGGGCCGGUGCACUGCUCCCUUAGUUUAAAGAACCAAAACCCUUAGGCAAAAUACUUAGAACCCUUUUGCCUGGAGAAAAAGUACAAAAUAAAGGGUUCUUUCAGCUAUAGAAAACCCAACCUAAGAAUGUAAUAGUUAUUUGAAAACCAGGCCAUGGAUACUGAGGAAUUUUAUAAGGCGAUCUCAUUUUCUACCUGGCUGCCAACCCGAUGCCUGUCAGUCCUUAUGUUUGAAAUGGAAUCACACAGAAUCUGUUCACAGUUUUGCUGAAGUUUGGUUUGGAGAAAGUUAUUUCUUACUUUUUUUCUGUCUGACAACCCUGUUGUCUUCUUGAUGGGAAUUUUAGUAGAAAGUUUUACCUUAUAUUUUAGAAUGAGGUCGAUUUAGUUAAUUGCAAAGCUCUAAAGAAACAUAGAUAAAAAGAAGGGGUGUUUCCGUAUUAUCGCCUUUACCACUAUGGCACAUUUGAGAACACCCUGUGAGAGACCUCACGUGUCAAGCUCAGCAGUCUCUCUUCUUCGCAGUUUGACUUGUGAUAUGUUUUUCCACACGACUACACUGUAUUGUGUUGUAAAAAAUUCUUUUUCAAACCCACUCCCUUUUAACUACCACGCGUAUUGUUUUGCUUUUCGGUUUUGUCAUUAAUUUACUCUUUCUAUGUAAUCCAGACAUAGUUCUCCUGAAUAUUCUUUCAUAGCUGUCUCAAGAAUGACUUACACCCGAUAAAAUUGCUUUGAAUGUAGGUAGUGCUGGGUUAACAGUAUUUCAAUUGCUUUGUGCAGAGCUCUGAACAAUUUCCUGAUUCACCGCCUGUUAACUAUCUUCCUCCUUCUUCUCAGCUUCCGAGGAAGAAAACCAAAAGUCUAUUUGAUGAAAGAAGCUCUUCUGAUCAUUGGUCACUUGGUGAUCUGGUACUAAAGCAAUGUCAUCGCCCUUGUGGAGAACAUCAGUGGCUUCACUAUCCUUGAUUUUUACAUAAAAUUGCUAUUACAGACCCUUUUCUGUUUUCUUAUAUUCUUGUCUGGUAUCGCCCUGCUCUUCCACCGCCUCCCAAAUUGUACCUACAACCCUAUUCCUUUCUUUCUAAUUUGGUUUUCUCAGUGUUUUCAACUGCCUUUAGGUCUUCACUACUAUAAUUAUGUAGAUAACUCCAAAAAUGACCCGAAUUCCAUUUCAAUAGCUAAGUCCUCCAUUUCAUAUUUCCAUUUGUAGCUAUACUUAUUACAAACUUGAUAAGUCUAAAACUAAAUACUGUAGAUUAUUUUCCUGUGGUGGUUUUAUUUUCCUAUGUCCAAAAAUUCGUUGGCACUCUUCUCUUCAAAAGAAUGUGUGCUGAGUUUAAUAAUCCCUUCUAAUGAAUAGAAUGUGGUAGAAGUGACGUGUGACUUCUGAGGCUACAUCAUAAAAGGCUUCUUUGUCACUCACUCCGGGAGAAACUAGCCACCAUGAUGUGAGGACAGUCUUUAUACACCAUGUGGAGAGGAGCGUGCCGGCCAUGUGUAUCUUGGAAAUGGGUCUUCCAGCUUCAGUCAAGCCUUUAGAUGGCAGCCGCAGCUGACGUCUGUCUGACUGACUGCAACCACAUGGGAGACCCUGAGCCAGAAUCACCAAGCUAAAUUGUACAUGAGUUUCCAGCUUACAGAAACGAAGGAAAACUCAAACUCAGGGGCUCAAGGACAUGUCAAAGGCACAGACAUAUGUUCCUGCAUUGAUCAAAUCAGGCUGUGCAGGUGGUUCGCUGCUCUGUGCAGGACCAGCACAGCACUCGUAUCUAGUGGGUGUCUGAUAAAUACAUGCUGCUCGCCAGAAGGAACAUCAAGAGUAGAAGCCCAUUGCUCUCUGGUGACUUUUGUUUUCUUUCAGAAUGCAUAAACAGGGGGCCUGCUCUCCACGUGUAAACUGAUCUGGUGCAAUUCAGAUAGAAUAUAUUCUAGGACUGGUGCCUUCUUCAACUCAUGCAAAUAAAAGUGCAGCAUGGUCCAAAGUACUGGAGUCAUGAGAAGUUCAGCUAAGGAUGAUCAUCCUAACCUUCCUGGCCUGGGGCUGAUCAGAAUGUUUCCAAAGAAAAGUGAGGAGCAGAGACAAGCAAAUAAACAACGCUUCUUCUCUGGAGACAUUUAUUGGAAAGGAGAAAAGGAAAAGAUGAGCUGAGGUUUAGACAAAUCUCAGAAAACAAGAGAAAAAAGAUUUAUUUAAUAAUGUAGUAAGGAUCAAUCACAGACGUUACGGAAUGGAAGGCAGAUGUAGAGGUCACUGUUUACGCAAGUUUUACCUGACCUGUUCCACACUAAUCCGUCUCUAUCUCAUUUCUAAUAAUCUCCAGGGAUGGAUAUUUCAGACCCUCUUUCAGUAAAAUGUUUCAGUGCUUCAGAACUAUGUGGCUAUUAGGAAGAACACUGCUUUGAACUUUCUUGUAUAUGUUUCUUGAAACACACGUGCACGAGAUUGCAAAGGAGUGGAAUUCUAAGGUCAUGGAAUAUGUUCAUAUAGCUAAAGCAUGCUAUAUAUUUGAGUUUACAGCUUCAGGGACCUCUUAAGAAGAGAGAAGUGGACUGGUGCAGGUGUCAGAGCAAGAUCAAAGGACAACAGGCCAUCUUGAAGAAAAUAAAACAGGACAAAAACAAUCUGGAACUGAGUAUUCAAGUGCUUUGAGAGUGACACCUAUUUCAAUGAAAGUCUUCCACGAAUUUGUGAUCCACAUUUUAUAAAAGCUUACAAGUACACUUGUAUAUUAAAAAUAAUCGGUUAUCCAUCAGGACAUUUUAAACAAUACAAAAAUCACUAUAGUACAUAAGGAGUGUUGUGCCGAGAUCUAUUUUCCAGAGAUGUAGCUCGUUUGUGAGAAAUAUUACCAGUGGGUGAAAUUUAUCCUUGAGGAGACGAAGAUGAACCAAAACCUUGUUCCUGCAGCUUACACUUCAGAGGGGAAACUGAUAUUACGCAGCUAAUCAAAUUAAUGAAUGUGUAAUUUAAAAUAUGGUAUGUUCAAAGAAAAUAAAAGAAGUCAAUCCUGGAAAAGUAUAUAGUAGACAAACUUGACCUAAUUUGGAGAAGUGAAGGAAAUGAUCUUUCCCAUGUGAUCAGAGGAUUGAGUACGGGUUAACCAGGUGAAGGUGGAGAGCAAGAAGAGAAUCCUAUAUUGAGAGACCGGCACAUGUAAAAUCCUUGUGAAGCAAGGAAGCUUGGAAAGAAGGCCAGAGAGACUGGAGAAGAGAGA